rnacentral:rRNA from 1 species
GAUCAUGGCUCAGGAUGAACGCUAGCUACAGGCUUAACACAUGCAAGUCGAGGGGCAGCGGGAUUGAAGCUUGCUUCAAUUGCCGGCGACCGGCGCACGGGUGAGUAACGCGUAUCCAACCUUCCGUACACUCAGGGAUAGGCCUUUUGAAAGAAAGAUUAAUACCUGAUGGUAUGAUGAGAUUGCAUGGUAUCAUCAUUAAAAGAUUUAUCGGUGUACGAUGGGGAUGUCG